rnacentral:ncRNA from 2 species
GGCAAACGCUAGGGGUCCUGCCUUUCGCUGUGAAAACACAGUGCAAGCGCGGGUGAGAAAUACCCUCCGAACCUGAUCUGGAUAAUGCCAGCGAAGGGAAGCUUUAGGAUGAACGC